UGCUCCAUUCCUUUGCAUGUAUGCAUGUAUGACAUACAUACAUUCGGCGCCAUCCUCAACUCCUUCCAUCCUUCUACCCUUCUCCUAUAAUACCCUCCGUCCCUGCCUCCGUCGUUCGUCCGGAAGCAAGAAAAAAAAUGCAGAGAGAGAGAGAGGUAGGGAAACGACAGAGAAGGAGAGAAGGAAAUCGACGAAAUCCUCUCGCAUCUAGGGUUGCAGAAACUCUAACCGAUUUUUCUAUCCCUUUUCUCUCUCUCCAACGCCCUACAUUCUGAAAAUCCCUGGAAUUUCCAUCCUAGGUUUCUUCCACGCGCUCCUUGAUCUGCAUUACAGGGAUUUUCUGGAGAGAAAACCUGGGGUUUCUAGGGUUUAUAGCUGAGAAAGAAUAGAAGCCUCUGAAAUCCCGAUUUUUUCCUGAAAUUUCUAGAAAUCUGUUCCGUUUUCCUGUUUGUAAAGGUGGAUCUGACCAUCGGAGAUUUUCAAGGUGCUUUGUGUUUGUCACUUCAGAGUUUUUUGGAGACGAAUCGAGAGGUUUUCGGGUUGCUGGCUUAAGUGAUACUGAAUCCUUGGAAUUUGAGUUUUCCCAUCUCCUUUUUGGAGACAUCUACCUUUUUUUGCUCGGAUCGGAGCUCAAUCAGCGUGGAAGCUCGGAUCUCUGGAGUUUCCAAACCUUUAGCUUGCUCAUUUUCACUGAAUUUUUCUCGUGUCCUAAAAUUAUUUGGCAAAGAAAAUGGACGGGGUGAAUUUCUCAUCAACAUUACAGUGGCCCUACCUAGCUCCCAUGGCAAGAAGUUCAUGGGAAAGAUUUCCGAAGAAAAGUCUGGUGGGUUUGUCACUUGUGAGAGCCAUUCCAAAGAAAAGCGUGUUGACAAUAUAGUAGGUAUUGCAUAUGCAAUGGAUAUGUUGGAUUAUGUUGAAAAGGUUGAUAAACUAGAAAGUUCUACUAUGGGAGCAAUUGCGCAUAAGCCUACCUACUUUGUACCUGAUUCGGAAUGGAGCAUCCAUAACAUCUAAUGCUAGGUGAUAAUUGUUUAUCCUUAGAAGCGCUGAAUGAACUAACAGACGGUUACCCUGCCUCGUAUUAUGCUGAAAGACUGCUAUACUGCACUUUUGCGUUAUAAAUUUCCAUAAAACUCUUCUUUUUUCUUUUUUUUUUUUUCAAAAUGAAUGAUGAAAUUUGGAUGAUAUCACAGAUUCAAUGUCCGUGUGGAAUCUGCUGAGAGAGUUCCGCAUAGGAAGGUUCAUAUGGCUAUUGUUCUAAAUGAAUAUGGUGGAACUGUGGGAGAUAUGGUGAAGCUUGUGAUUCAGAGAUAUACUAGAGAAGCUGGUGUGCAAAAUCUAGAGAGAAACUUAGCUGCCCUGGCUCGUGCAGCUGCUGUCAAAGCUGCUGAGCAAGAAUGUGCAGUUCCAGUCAGCAAAGAUGUAUACCCGAUGGCAGAAUGACUUCUUGAUACAAGACUUGCAGAUGGUGCUGAAGUUGAAAUGGAAGUCAUUCCAAUGGGUGUUAACGGACAUGAAAUAUCAAAUGCUCUUACGAGUACCCCAGCAUUGGUUGUAGAUGAGGCUAUGCUGGAAAAGAUACUGGGGGUAAUAUAUCUUUUUUCUUCCUCCUAGGUUUGAUGAUGGAGAAACUGCAAAACGUAUGGCAACUCCUGGAGUAUCAGUUGGGCUUGUCUGGACCUCCUUUGGUGGAGACGUCCAGUUCGUUGAGGCCACAUCAAUGGUGGGAAAGGGUGAUUUGCAUCUCACUGGCCAACUUGGUGAUGUUAUCAAAGAAUCUACUCAAAUAGCUCUAACAUGGGUAAUUUUUGUUCAUUUCUUCUUAUCCGACAUGGAUUGUUCGGUUCUUAUGAGUCACAAAUGCCAGCAUGGUUUUAAAUGGCAACCCCAUUCCUCAUGCAUGCAUCCCUUGUUUCCAUGAUAGGCAACCUUUAGCUUGUGGUCUCAAUUUCAUGUUCAGUUUUGACCUCGUCCUAUUGACUAUUUUAGAAAUCCUCAUUGCUGAUGUAUCUUAUUUGUUUUAGGACAGACUUCAUCAGAAAUGAAAUUCCUCAACUAACAUUCAUUCACCAAAAAAGAAAAAAGAAAAAGAAAAAGAAAAAAACUAGUCUAGAGAGUUCAAAAUUCAAGUAAGAAUUGAAUCAGGCAUGUAAUGAAUCAUUUUUUGGAGAUUCUUUAGGUAUGGAAAAUAUCAAAGAUUCUUUAGCUAUGGAAAAUUUCAAAGAUUCUUUAGCUAAGGCCUGUAGUUGUGUCAUGCAGGCUUCUUUUUCAAAUGAUUGAUAUAUACAUUUGGGAUUUAUCUUUCAAUAAAAAUAUACGUUUGGGAUUU